AGUGGGACCCACUCCUACGGGAGGCAGCACUGGGACUCCUACGGGAGGCAGCAGUGGGACAGUUGGCUCAGAACGAACGCUGGCGGCCCACUCCUACGGGAGGCAGCAGUGGGACUCCUACGGGAGGCAGCAGUGGGACUCCUACGGGAGGCAGCAGUGGGACCCACUCCUACGGGAGGCAGCAGUGGGACUCCUACGGAAGGCAGCAGUGGGACAGUUGGCUCAGAACGAAUGCUGGCGGCUGGCUCAGAACGAACGCUGGCGG
rnacentral:misc_RNA from 1 species